AUAUAUAUAUAAAGGGCUGCCAUGGAGGAAACCAUGCUGGUGGAAACCACAGAGCCAAUUAGACGAGGUCAAAGUCUGGCUGUGUUUUGAAGGGAAAGCCCACUGUAAUUUACUGAUAAAUUAAAUGUAGGGUAUGAAAGAAGAAAGAAUCAAAGAUAUUUCCAAGAUUUUUUCGUGCAGAUGUUAAAAAAAAAAAGGCAUCAGUACGACUGAUAGUUUAAGGAGCAUCCUAUUCAGAAGUGCUUACAUUUCAAACCAGAAUGUACAAGCCCGACACCCUGGUCCUCACUAGGCCCCUCCAAAUUCUAUCUCCAACUAUGCUUUUCUCAUCUACUCAUACCAUUUGCUACAUCAUCUCUCAAUAUGCCUGUACUUUCCAAUUUUCCUGCCUUGCUCAUCCUAUACCUAAUCUGAGGUCUCCUUCAUCCAGCAAGCCCUGAUUCAAGUAAUCUCCUUCAAGAAACCUUUCCUGAUCCCCUAAAUCAAAAAUCAAUCUCAUCCAUAUUUGCAGUUCAGUCGUAUGCGUCUCGGAAAUUGCACUUAACCUAGGCUGGGUAGCAUUAAAGGUAUCUUGUUUAUAACCAUUCACAGCCCCUAUCUGAUCACCAGUCUCAACCUGGACUGUGACUGCCCCACAAAUAGGACCUACGUGUUGUUUGAUUGGUCUCAGGUUCCUCCAAAAUGACUACUCUGGUGUCUGACAGGAAGCAGCCGCUCUUUAAAUGUGUAUUGAGAGAAUACUAGAGCUACACACAUUUCAAAGGUCAGCUUCCUCGCCCGCCACAGGUAUCUGCCCUGUACAGGGCGGGGCUCCAAUGCUCUGGUAGAAAGGAAGAUACUUGAUGCGUCAUAAAGGAUCCUGGCAGUCGGAAGCCCACCGUAACUAAAUGUUUGCCUCUGCAGCCUCUCGCAGGGUUAGAAGGUGACUUUACAUCAGCUGACUUGGGGCACACUUUGGCAGACGGGUUGGAAAAAAACACGCAGAGAUCAACCGCGCUUAACGUGGUGCGCGGCAGAAUACCCUCCCCCAGCCGGGCGCGGCCCCGAGGCGCACAGACCGCCCUGAGCCCUGUCUCAGACAAGCCCCAGCGCGCUGGGAGAGCGUGGGACGCCAGAGACGCGCAGGCGCCAACUCGCUGCGCGCGCUCUGGCCGCGCGUCCGGGGCAGCUCGGCCAAUCGCAGGGCUGCCGCACCUUCCCGCCUACCAGAGGCGAGCAGCCGAGGGGGCUCGGCCCAAGCCGCGCUCCCACUGGCUGAGACGGCACCGCCCAGACCCAGCUGUGCUCUGCCGGCGCCAGCGGGCUACUGAGGCUCCGGGCCUUGCCCCGCCCGGGCCCACCACCACCCCAGCAUCUCCCGCCGGCUCCCGCGGCGCCUCCACCUUGCUCGGUCCUCCUCCUCCCUCGGUCCUGCGGCCUGUGCGGUCCUCCUCCAACAGCCGGCUCAGCUCGUGCUCGAGGAAGCUGGACUGGCGGCCCGACUGCUGUCCAGCAUCCUUCCCGAGGGUGCCGCAGAAAGGGAGGAAGCACUCCCACCACCAGCAAGUCCCCGAGAACAGAGCCUGGGCCCAGCCUACAGGAUGUGGUGCCCCUUCUCCACCCGCAUCCCCGCGACCCGGCUUAAGGGCAGAGCAAAUCCAAACCAAGCCAAUCAUCAUGCCGGUUUAAGGGCGCCCGCUCAUCACCCCUGAACUGCAGAGCCCUAAACCACGCUCAGAUCUCCUCCACCGCCAUCCUGGUUCUGGAGCGAGCGGGGAAAGACCACCCAGCGGGUAUGUAUGGGUAGGAAGGCGAAGAUGCCGCCCCAGGAAGUGAGGAAAGCUGGUAAGAUUGAGGCGCCUUCCAGGACGUAUGCCUAUUUACUGUCUCGAGCUCAUUGAG
ensembl:lncRNA